rnacentral:other from 1 species
UACAGUCUGCGGUGUUUGUGGUAUGGGAAAUUCGUAAUCCACAAUGUUUAAAAGGGAGCGCUCUGUUCGCCGAAAUAGUUAAGGUCUGUUAAUUCGGAAACAACGACGUCCGGCUUCGGCGCACCCACCUGCGAGACGCGGGUUAACACUUUUUCAUAUCACGGCACAGGCGGAUUUUUU